rnacentral:tRNA from 1 species
GCAGUCGUGGCCGAGUGGUUAAGGCGACGGACUAGAAAUCCAUUGGGGUCUCCCCGCACAGGUUUGAAUCCUGUCGACUGUG